GCUUACGGCCACACCACCCUGAGCACGCCCGAUCUCGUCCGAUCUCGGAAGCUAAGCAGGGUCGGGCCUGGUUAGUACUUGGAUGGGAGACCGCCUGGGAAUACCAGGUGCUGUAAGCU
ensembl:rRNA 5S_rRNA 5S ribosomal RNA